ACAAUACAUGAGAUUACGCCACAAUUACUAGUAACUCAAUAUAUUACAAAAUUGUGUAUAUUCCCAUUUCAAAUGUUAAAGAUGAAAUUAACAUGUAGCUGAUGAAACAAUUUUCUAUAUUUCGCCAACCUAAAAAGAGUGAUGGAAAGUGGAUUUCAGGUUUAAUAGUCUCGAGAAGGUAUUAGCCACCGAUGACUAUACUUUCGUAGAAGCACCCUUUUUUCCUCCCCACACUGAAUGAAAAAAAAACAAGCUAACAAAAAGCACUAAAAAUAUCAGAACACAAGGAGAAGAAAAGUACUUGCUAGUGAACGAGUGAUUAAUCGCUUCCCCAUUUUCUUGCUACCGUCUCUUUGGCAGAAACACGAGAAGGAACUUCUUCCGGAGAUAUGGUACCAAAGCUGUCUUGGCUAGCAGGAUAUACUUUUCUCAUAAUUUGUGAUGUUACAAAGGUAAACCCAUUCCUUACUCCGCGUAGAGUGAACAGCAGAGGGUUGAAUAUCACAGCAAGCAUCACAUCUCCUUUUGUAACUAUCAAGUACAUGACAAUAAUACCCAAGAUAGCAAGGGUUGCUUGUUGGGCUUCCUGCCAAAAAUGGCCAUCCUCCGAGCCACCAAACCAUCUACGCCAAUUAAACCAACCGCCUCCGCCUGAAUUGUCUCCUCCACCUGCUUCCUCCCUUCGUUUAAUUUCUUUAUCCCAUUUCUCAAACUCAGUUUUCUUUCCUCCCAAAGCACUUUCUAGAGCUUUUCUAGCCUCGUCCUGUUUGCGAUUAUCAGAGAAGAGGCAAGAAAAUCUGCCAUUGCUCUGGAGUUUGUGUUGUAAGGAACGGAAACUCUUGUCGGCGGUGGAGGACGGAGCAGUUAGCAGCGCCGGCCGGGUCAAAGAUGAGGUGGCGCGGUGGUGGUGCGGUGGUGAUGGGGUUGAAACUUGUAGGCUCAGCACCUGCGCCAUAGCCAUAGAUUUUGGGUUUUGGUUUGGACUUGUCAAAUUGGGCAAAUGGCCCAAAA
rnacentral:misc_RNA from 1 species